rnacentral:rRNA from 1 species
AAACCAACAGGGAUUGCCUUAGUAACGGCGAGUGAAGCGGCAAAAGCUCAAAUUUGAAAUCUGGCACCUUCGGUGUCCGAGUUGUAAUUUGAAGAAGGUAACUUUGGAGUUGGCUCUUGUCUAUGUUCCUUGGAACAGGACGUCACAGAGGGUGAGAAUCCCGUG